CCCCUUCUCUUUUUGCUCAACUAGGGGUUUGGGAAAGCGAGAGAUCUGCGUCUGUGGAGCAGAGGGUGUGCGUUGGAGGAGAAGGGUGAGGGGUAGAUCCCGGCGGCGACGGCGGCGGCAGGGCAGCGAGGAGGCCGCGACCGGUGGCUUCCUUCCAACCGAAGAGGAUACCUAGAAGAGGAGAACCACCGGGGAGGCAGGAGAAGCGGCCGCCGCUCGAGAAGCCCAGCCCCAGGAGCGGCGAGCAGAAGGACUGGGACGAGGACUGGCUCCCGCCGCCGUACCUGGAGGAUGAAGGGAGAGAAUAAGGGGACACGGAGCCGCUCCACCCGGUUCGGUCGCGUGUGCUGUUUGCCACCAACGCCGAUGCCGAGGCUGCGCCCGCGGCGCCUCCACCUCCGCCUCGACGCCACCGACCACUACCUACCGGCGCUGUUGCCGCAGUCGAAGCUGCUCAAAGUAGUGGAGGUGACGAUAGAGUCCGUCAUCGGUUAACUACCUAAACUGACGACUAGGGAAACACAACCGACUACCACCACUCUACCUUUAUUCCUAGUUGGUACCACCCUACCCUUAGAAAUUCUCCUUCUUAGUUCGCUGUGCUCGUGGAUUAGGUGUACACAACUGUUAGAGACGAGGGAAAAUUUGAGUUCUAAAAUUGGUUCUAGUAUAUGUAACACUUGGUUUCUAUCAAAUCAUAAGCCAAAUUAAGACGACAAACAAGAUAAUCUGUUUAAUGAUAAUACAACUUUGGAACGGCACCAACACGAUUUAACAAAUAAAGAUAGACAUGGACGGUCAAGAUUCGUGGAUAAAGAAGAAGAAGAAGAAAACAUAGAUAUGUAUUGUUAAGAUAAAAAGAAUGGGGACGUCAAUAUGUACUGGACGUCGAAUAAGUGUACCUAGAAUUCGGUCUCUUGUAAGAGGAACAAAGUGGACUAUGUUAGUCCCAAGUACUAAUAUUCCAAACGACUGAACUAAGUUCGAUAGGACCACCUCACUGUAGUUGUAGGUCUUACGGUUUUCCGAAAACCAUCUAAGGUUCCGUCCUAUUUUAGGUAUGUUACCAAAGUGUGGAAGUCAUUCAGAACGGUACGUGAUAAAAAAGUACUUAAACUCCUGCUCCUCUCGAUGCUCGCCAAGACCGCCGUACUCGCCGCUCCUCACUACCGCACGCUGAUGUGACUCCACAUGCGGAGGUACAGUCCGUUGACACCGGCAGUGCAGCACCUCGUCGCAAGACGGUACCACUUGACCUAGUAGCUCACCAAAGAAGACAAACGGGUAACUUAGACGAGUGUUCUCUACACUAUUAAGAUUCGACCUCCUUCAACACCUUCUCCGAUGGUUCGAGGUCCUUCGACGUCAACUCCUUCUUGUCUUCGAACGGUCACGACUCUUCAUACAAUGGAACGAUCGUUACCUCCUAAGCGUAUAGAAUCCACAGUAAAGCUUCAGGUGUAGCCUUGGUCGGUAGUUCUCGUAACUUCCACGGAGUUGACUUCUACCACUCUCGUCGUUUACCAGUGACCACAACCUCUAUCUACUACUCUAGUUAUCAUGGUCACUUCUAUUCCUUCAUCGACGGCAACUUCACGGUUUUUCCUUCGGUAGUUACAUCUACGAAAGUCAAGGUGGCGGGUCGACAACAUUGUCUCUUCCUUCAGAGACCACAAAUAAAGUUCCUUCUACGAGAGUCAAGGUGGCAACUCCGACGACUACGACGAUCGUUAUAUCGGGGUCGUCGACACUGUCGCUUCCUUCAGUGAAGACGACUCGCCCUCGGACGGUGUCGUCGGCUGGACACUCCAUACGAUAAACCAUGGUCGUGAAGUAAGAGUUGUAUUCCAACACAGACAAUGAGUAUAUUUUCCGAAAAAAGAUCUAGACGUCUAAUACCAAAAGGUUUGUGUUAUGUGACUAACAUCAAAAACACUCGAACAAGAAAUAUUCUUUUAUUAACUUGGAAAAGUUAACAGUAAUACGGUAACUAUAGUUUUAGAACGUACUCAAAAACAACUAACAAAUCACUGAUUCGAAUACAACCAAUUAUACUUAAACUUAACGUGAGACCUAGUUCAAUAAAAGACUAUACCAUCGAGUAACGAUUUGAAAAAACCGGGUAAGAUUAACAUUUUGCUUCGUUAUCGUUUAGUUAGCACUCCAAAGUUCGUGUUUUAUUUGAUGUACAUCGGGUAAAGUGGUACUAAACCUAAUGACUUGACAAC
rnacentral:rRNA from 1 species